rnacentral:rRNA from 1 species
GAUGAACGCUGGCGGCGUGCCUAAUACAUGCAAGUCGAGCGAACAGACGAGGAGCUUGCUCCUCUGACGUUAGCGGCGGACGGGUGAGUAACACGUGGAUAACCUACCUAUAAGACUGGGAUAACUUCGGGAAACCGGAGCUAAUACCGGAUAAUAUAUUGAACCGCAGGGUUCAAUAGUGAAAGACGGUUUUGCUGUCACUUAUAGAUGGAUCCGCGCCGCAUUAGCUAGUUGGUAAGGUAACGGCUUACCAAGGCAACGAUGCGUAGCCGACCUGAGAGGGUGGUCAGCCACACUAGAACUGAGACACGGUCCAGUCUCCUACGCGACGCGGCAGUAGGGAGUCUUCCGCUGAGGGCGAAAGCCUGACGGAGCAACGCCGCGUGAGUUAUGAAGGUCUUCGGAUCGUAAUACUCUGUUAUUAGGGAAGAACAAAUGUGUAAGUAACUAUGCACGUCUUGACGGUACCUAAUCAGAAAGCCACGGCUAACUACGUG